AGGGGGGCCGUCGAGAUCCACCUCCGCGGGAAAUAAUGGGGAUGAUAAUAAAACAGGGGGAAAACCCGUCCGAGGGAAGCUGAAUGGACGGAGCCAGAGAGACGUCACGAGCAGCCGCAGCCAUGAAGACCGUGCGGUCCAGCCUCCGGCAGCUCAGUCGGUCUCCAUCUCCCGAGCCGCUCGCUUCUCGGGCUUUUUAUGAAGAGCGGACGCCGCAAAGACUCGCAGGCAACGGCGGAUCCCUGGAGAGACAUUCAGCGGCCUCACAACACGUGGCUUUACUGUAGGUCAGAACUCGGCCCACGCUGAUUCUUCGCCUGCGGCUUGAGAGGAUGGGUAGCCUUAGGGGUUGGUUGUUAUCUUUGGUUAUCUAGCUGUAUGAGUGAUGUACAUUCUUCAUAAAGCUAGAUAACCGAAAGUAACAAGAAUCCCAUUACACUCCUGAAAAGGCAUCAAGACCCCAUACGCGCCUCCCUCCAAAAAAAAAAAAAAAGAACCGCAAAAACUCUCUGAGAAGAGCAACACGUGAAGAAAAUGGACGCCACCUGAAAGGACGUGGGAGCGGCGUGCGGCAGGAAGGCGACCGACCACCACAACACCACAGAAGGAGAGCUGGCAAAAGGAGACUGAAAAACAGGAAAAGAAGGAGGAGGAGGGGUUGUUGUUGAUUCUGCCCUCCCUCUCUCCUCGCCCUCCUCUGCAUCGCCUCUUCCCUCCUCCUCCUCCUCCGCUCCAUCCUCAGCAGACUGCCCCCUUUUUCCUGUACAGCGAGACGCAGCCGGCGCCACCAUCUUAGAGCAAACGCUGGCAUGAAAUGGAAGUGGGAAGACCAGUCAGUGCAGGUGAGUGCUGUCGGCGCAGGAGGAUCCACAACAGAAGACGGAGGGACGGCAGGACUGCUCCUUCUGCCGCCGUUUCCCGCCUUUCUGCCUGGAGUAAACGCGGACGACGGCGAUGACUUUGGGACGUUGGGGUGCUCUGUUUUUCACCUCUUCGGUGUUGCAUUAUGGGAGCCAACGCUCAAAGCUGGACUUGAUUGUGAACGCAAACAUCACGGCGGUGAUGGACUGUGACACUGUGGGGGAAACAGAAGAUCAGCAGCUGGAGGCGUCACUCUUCUCUUUGUGUUUCUGAGGGUGUGGCUCUGACGUUUGUAAAUUAUCAUUAAACAAUAUUAAUUAGACUUGAAACUAUAUAAUGUGUCAACUAAUAACUAACAUAAGGCUCCACUUACUGUAGGUGAUAUUUGAUGAGCUGUAGCCCGCGUUGUGUUUGAAUUGCUUUUGUUAUAGUUGCUAGAACUCAAAGACGCGUGAAUGUGAGACCCACGGCAGCAGUGAAUAAUACUGCACUGCGAUUGGACAGCUCCAUGUGUCGGCCGACACAAUGGCGAAGGAGUGAGCUGUCGUCUUUAUACUCUAUGCAACUGUUUUAUCUUCAUUUUUUGUUUUUUUGUUUGUACUUUGGAUUUUUUGUUGUUGUUUUUGGGCUGUAGUUUAUAGACGUUCCUCCAGACGUUAUCGAGACACGUGGUUUCUGAGGGAGCCGACACUCCCGUCGUUAAUACACUGAUGCAGAAGUUACAGUGGGCGUGUUGUGCGAGUGUGUGACAGACGACAGAACAUGGUUUCUGUGUCUCGUAUUUGCCGCCUUAACAGACUCUGAUUGGACUGUGCAGCCACGAGCCGCAGUCUGAGUAAACGUGGACUCUCACAUUUAAUAUUCCUGAUGGCAGGAGUGUAUUUGAUCAGCAGGGGAGUAGCUGAGCAGGGCUCAUGGUUCUGUGUGUGUGUGUGUGUGUGUGUGUGUGUGUGUGUGUACACAGAACCUGCCACACUAUUAAAACCUUCCCAGCAGGCUUUGAGACGCAGCAGCUUGGCUCAUAGCCGUCACCUGCUUCGCUGUAAUGCUACAUCUCUGGGUGAGACAUGACAAAUACAUUGGCUUCAAACACCGCCUUAAUUUCCUGUCCUUGACAUUAACACACACACACACACACACACAAAUGCAAUAAAGCAAGUACUAUCGCAGCCUAAUUCAUUCUAUAUUAAUUUCCAGGAAGUGGCAAAUUUUUUAUUACGAUUGAUAAUCUAUGCAAAUCUUUUAAAUAUUACUUUAAACAAUCUAUGUCUAUGCAGUGCUUUUGCAAUUGAUUCAAGGGAGGAUAUCUUGGUCUAAUUUAGAAAAUGUAUUCUUUUGAUAAUCAUGCACAUCCCAGUGCUCAAGACAAUUACUUAUCUGCCUGGAUAAGCUUGAAAUUAUGUUUUUAAUCUCUGGCAAAAAAAAAGGAAAAAAAAAAAGGAGUCACUCUUGUGAUAUCAGUCCAGUGGCAUGAAAACCAUGAGUUGUGGUCUAAAGUAAUUAAAUGGGUUGCACUAAAUCUCUUUUUUUUCUCCUUAAAUGCAGAUCUGUGCGGAAACGCUCUUUAUGUCGUAGCUUAUUGUUUUAGACGAGCGGCCGUCUUUGUGUUACGCAAUCUGACGGCUACGUGUUCACCACAUGUGCCUUUCUGUGGAAAACUACUGUGUUGGAAUAGUAAUAAAGGUUUACAUUGAAAACAAUGGAAAACUG